rnacentral:rRNA from 1 species
GAUGAACGCUGGCGGGGUGCCUAAUACAUGCAAGUCGAGCGAACGGACGAGAAGCUUGCUUCUCUGAUGUUAGCGGCGGACGGGUGAGUAACACGUGGAUAACCUACCUAUAAGACUGGGAUAACUUCGGGAAACCGGAGCUAAUACCGGAUAAUAUUUUGAACCGCAUGGUUCAAAAGUGAAAGACGGUCUUGCUGUCACUUAUAGAUGGAUCCGCGCUGCAUUAGCUAGUUGGUAAGGUAGCGGCUUACCAAGGCAACGAUGCAUAGCCGACCUGAGAGGGUGAUCGGCCACACUGGAACUGAGACACGGUCCAGACUCCUACGGGAGGCAGCAGUAGGGAAUCUUCCGCAAUGGGCGAAAGCCUGACGGAGCAACGCCGCGUGAGUGAUGAAGGUCUUCGGAUCGUAAAACUCUGUUAUUAGGGAAGAACAUAUGUGUAAGUAACUGUGCACAUCUUGACGGUACCUAAUCAGAAAGCCACGGCUAACUACGUG